rnacentral:rRNA from 1 species
UGGCUCAGAACGAACGCUGGCGGCGUGGAUAAGACAUGCAAGUCGAACGGGAUAUUAUUUGUAGCAAUACAAAUGAUGUCUAGUGGCGUAAGGGUGCGUAACACGUGGGCAAUCUGCCGAGAAGUGGGGGAUAGCUCGCCGAAAGGCGAAUUAAUACCGCAUGUGGUUAGUGAGGACAUCCUCACGACACCAAAGCCGGGGCAACCUGGCGCUUCUUGAUGAGCCCGCGGCCUAUCAGCUAGUCGGUGAGGUAACGGCUCACCAAGGCUAUGACGGGUAGCUGGUCUGAGAGGACGACCAGCCACACUGGAACUGAGACACGGUCCAGACACCUACGGGUGGCAGCAGUCGAGAAUUUUUCUCAAUGGGGGAAACCCUGAAGGAGCGACGCCGCGUGGAGGAUGAAGGUCUUCGGAUUGUAAACUCCUGUCAUUUGGGAACAAGUUGCAUCGAUUAACUGUCGAUGCAUUGAUAGUACCAGAAGAGGAAGAGACGGCUAACUCUGUGCCAGCAGCCGCGGUAAUACAGAGGUCUCAAGCGUUGUUCGGAUUCAUUGGGCGUAAAGGGUGCGUAGGUGGCGGGGUUAGUCAGGUGUGAAAUCUCGGAGCUCAACUCCGAAACUGCACUUGAUACUGCCUUGCUAGAGUACUGGAGAGGAGAUUGGAAUUUACGGUGUAGCAGUGAAAUGCGUAGAUAUCGUAAGGAAG